UACGAAGGGGGCUAGCGUUGCUCGGAAUCACUGGGCGUAAAGGGCGCGUAGGCGGCUUGCCAAGUCGGGGGUGAAAGCCCGUGGCUCAACCACGGAAUGGCUUCGAUACUGGCAGGCUUGAGACCGGAAGAGGACAGCGGAACUGCGAGUGUAGAGGUGAAAUUCGUAGAUAUUCGCAAGAACACCAGUGGCGAAGGCGGCUGUCUGGUCCGGUUCUGACGCUGAGGCGCGAAAGCGUGGGGAGCCAAACAGGAUUAGAU
rnacentral:rRNA from 1 species